GACGAAGGAUGCAAGCGUUAUCCGGAUUCAUUGGGUUUAAAGGGAGCGUAGGCGGUCUUAUAAGUCAGUGGUGAAAUCUCUCAGCUUAACUGAGAAAUUGCCAUUGAUACUGUAGGACUUGAGUACAGUUGCCGUUGGCGGAAUAUGACAUGUAGUGGUGAAAUACAUAGAGAUGUCAUAGAACACCGAUUGCGAAGGCAGCUAACGAAACUGUAACUGACGCUGAGGCUCGAAAGUGCGGGGAUCAAACAGG
rnacentral:rRNA from 1 species